GGCAAGCGUUAUCCGGAAUAUUGGGGCGUAAAGCGUCCGCAGGGGGCACUUCAAGUCUGCUGUCAAAGGUCGGAGCUUAACUCCGGUUCGGCAGUGGAAACUGGAGUGCUAGAGGGCGACAGGGGUAGAGGGAAUUCCCAGUGUACCGGUGAAAUGCGUAGAGAUUGGGAAGAACACCGGUGGCGAAAGCGCUCUACUGGGUCGCACCUGACCCUCAGGGACGAAAGCUAAGGUAGCGAAAGGGAUUAGAUACCCCUGUAGUCUUAGCCGUAAACGAUGGAUACUAGGCGUGGUUUGUAUCGACCCAAGCCGUGCCGAAGCUAACGCGUUAAGUAUCCCGCCUGGGGAGUACGCACGCAAGUGUGAAACUCAAAGGAAUUGACGGGGGCCCGCACAAGCGGUGGAGGAUGUGGUUUAAUUCGAUGCAACGCGAAGAACCUUACCAGGGCUUGACAUCCCGCGAAUCUUGCUGAAAGGUGAGAGUGCCUUCGGGAGCGCGGAGACAGGUGGUGCAUGGCUGUCGUCAGCUCGUGUCGUGAGAUGUUGGGUUAAGUCCCGCAACGAGCGCAACCCUCGUCCUUAGUUGCCAGCAUUAAGUUGGGCACUCUAGGGAGACUGCCGGUGACAAACCGGAGGAAGGUGAGGAUGACGUCAAGUCAGCAUGCCCCUUAUGCUCUGGGCGACACACGUCCUACAAUGGUCGGGACAAAGGGGAGCAAGCUCGCGAGAGUAAGCGAAUCCCAGCAAACUCGGCCUCAGUUCAGAUUGCAGGCUGCAACUCGCCUGCAUGAAGGAGGAAUCGCUAGUAAUCGCAGGUCAGCAUACUGCGGUGAAUUCGUUCCCGGGCCUUGUACACACCGCCCGUCACACCAUGGAAGCUGGCCAAGCCCGAAGUCGUUACCCUAACCGUUUGGAGGGGGGCGCCGAAGGCUGGGCUAGU
rnacentral:rRNA from 1 species